UACGUAGGGGGCAAGCGUUAUCCGGAUUUACUGGGUGUAAAGGGAGCGUAGACGGCAGUGCAAGGCUGAAGUGAAAGGCGGGGGCCCAACCCCCGGACUGCUUUGGAAACUGUGCUGCUGGAGUGCAGGAGAGGCAAGUGGAAUUCCUAGUGUAGCGGUGAAAUGCGUAGAUAUUAGGAGGAACACCAGUGGCGAAGGCGGCUUGCUGGACUGUAACUGACGUUGAGGCUCGAAAGCGUGGGGAGCAAACAGG
rnacentral:rRNA from 1 species